rnacentral:rRNA from 1 species
UUUGACCUCAGAUCAGGUAGGACUACCCGCUGAACUUAAGCAUAUCAAUAAGCGGAGGAAAAGAAACUAACAAGGAUUCCCCUAGUAACGGCGAGUGAAGAGGGAAGAGCUCAAAUUUGAAAUCUGGCGGCCUACGGUCGUCCGAGUUGUAAUCUAGAGAAGUGUUUUCCUUACUGGACCGUGUACAAGUCCUUUGGAACAAGGCGUCAUAGAGGGUGAGAAUCCCGUCUACGACACGGACUCCCAGUAUCUUGUGAUACACUCUCAACGAGUCGAGUUGUUUGGGAAUGCAGCUCAAAAUGGGUGGUAAAUUCCAUCUAAAGCUAAAUAUGGGCGAAAGACCGAUAGCGAACAAGUACCGUGAGGGAAAGAUGAAAAGCACUUUGGAAAGAGAGUUAAACAGUACGUGAAAUUGUUGAAAGGGAAACGCUUGAAGUCAGUCGCGUCUUCAGAAACUCAGCUUGGCUUCUGCCUGGUGUACUUUUCUGUUUGACGGGCCAGCAUCAGUUUCGGCCGCCAGAAAAAGGUGGGAGGAAGGUGGCACCUCACGGUGUGUUAUAGCCUCUCAUCGUAUGUGGCGGCGGGGACUGAGGACCGCAGCACGCCUGUAUGGCCGGGGUUCGCCCACGUAACGUGCUUAGGAUGCUGGCGUAAUGGCUUUAAACGACCCGUCUUGAAACACGGACCAAGGAGUCUAACAUGCCUGCGAGUAUUUGGGUGGCAAACCCAUAUGCGGAAUGAAAGUGAACAGUUGGGACUUCUGUCAUGGAAGGCACCGACGCCCGGACCAGACCUAUUGUGACGGAUCCGAGGUAGAGCAUGUAUSUUGGGACCCGAAAGAUGGUGAACUAUGCCUGAGUAGGGUGAAGCCAG